CUAAAAUGUUUUUAAUAUCUUCCAGGUUGGUGGAGGUUAGUAAUUUUGUCUGUGGGUUUAGCAGCACUCUUAACAGCUGUUGUGGCUGUCAACAUGUGGACGAGAACUAAACGGAACACAACACAGACAAAUGAAAACACUGUGCACAAUGAAGAAGAUGAUGGUACAUCUAACUAUGAAAACCCGGGAGACAGUUAUGUCUCUGUCCACUGAUCAGAAUGUGUUUAUGUUGGCUUGUAUUGAAAUGUUUGGCCAAGUACAGACACCA